CUAACUCCUUCGCUUAUCUCGUCAUUUUCUCAAAAACCCCAAGCCCCAAAAUAGAGAACCCCAAACCCAUCAUUCUCUCUCCCAUAAAACCCCACCCCUGCUUGCUCUACUUCAGGCGGCUGCCGGCUACCGCCUCGGCCAAAGAUUAGCCCCCACCUUGCUGCUCGUCGGAGCUGUGCUAAUCGUCGGACCACGACCAUGGCGUCUGUCACAGUCUCUCUCUCUGACUCCUCACAUGGUUGCUACACUUGCCAGAAUUGCGACGCACUACCUUCUUGUCGUUAUAGAUUACACCGUGGCUUCUGGCUUGUCAAUUUCUCUUUACCAUAAACUGCAUUAGCAAGUUGGCUGUUACAUUGCAACCAACUGCCUCUUUGGGAUGUGAAACUGGAAUACAAGAAGUUGAAAGAGAAGAUUAGAGAAUACAAUAAAAAGGACGCACAACUCUAUGGGAAAAUGUUCUCAAAGAUAGCUUGAGUCAAUGAUGAUGGAAAUAAUGGUGGAUUAGAGUAGCAAGCAUGCAUGAUACAUCGAGAAGCAUGCGUACAUGGAUAAUGAAAUUGAAGAAUAAUGAAAGAAUGACCUUAAGAUUGAUUUAGGUUUAUUUAAAGAGAGAUGUAUAUAUUAUGAUUUUAUGAUUUAAUUUUCAGAUUAACUAUUUAUAUUUUGGAUGCAAUAGUAUGUUUUCGAUUGAGUAUACUCUUUGGGUCGUUGAGUAUUUCUACUCAGUUAUAUCAAUAAUAUUAUUUUAUUUCCUCUUCAA